AUUAGGUUGGUGCAAAAGUCAUUGCAGUUUUGCCAUUACUUUCAGUAGCAAAAACUGCAGUUACUUUUGCACCAACCUAAUA
ensembl:miRNA